rnacentral:rRNA from 1 species
CCUACGGGAGGCAGCAGUGGGGAAUAUUGCGCAAUGGGCGAAAGCCUGACGCAGCGACGCAGCGUGAGGGACGAAGGCCUUCGGGUUGUAAACCUCUUUCAGCGGGGACGAAGCGAAAGUGACGGUACCCGCAGAAGAAGCACCGGCUAACUACGUGCCAGCAGCCGCGGUAAUACGUAGGGUGCAAGCAUUGUCCGGAUUUAUUGGGCGUAAAGAGCUCGUAGGCGGCUUGUCACGUCGGAUGUGAAAACUCGGGGCUCAACCCCGAGCCUGCAUUCGAUACGGGCUAGCUAGAGUGUUGCAGGGGAGACUGGAAUUCCUGGUGUAGCGGUGAAAUGCGCAGAUAUCAGGAGGAACACCGGUGGCGAAGGCGGGUCUCUGGGCAACUACUGACGCUGAGGAGCGAAAGCGUGGGGAGCGAACAGGAUUAGAUACCCUGGUAGUCCACGCCGUAAACGGUGGGCGCUAGGUGUGGGGAACCUUCCACGUUCUCUGUGCCGUAGCUAACGCAUUAAGCGCCCCGCCUGGGGAGUACGGCCGCAAGGCUAAAACUCAAAGGAAUUGACGGCUGAGACNGCGACGACGACGACGAGGAGAGG